AGCAGUCGCCGCGGGAAUACGGAGGGUGCAAGCGUUAUCCGGAUUUAUUGGGUUUAAAGGGUCCGUAGGCGGACUUAUAAGUCAGUGGUGAAAGCCUGUCGCUUAACGAUAGAACUGCCAUUGAUACUGUAAGUCUUGAGUAUAUUUGAGGUAGCUGGAAUAAGUAGUGUAGCGGUGAAAUGCAUAGAUAUUACUUAGAACACCAAUUGCGAAGGCAGGUUACCAAGAUAUAACUGACGCUGAGGGACGAAAGCGUGGGUAGCGAACAGGAUUAGAUACCCCGGUAGUCCCUGUCUCUUAUAU
rnacentral:rRNA from 1 species